GACGGAGGGUGCUAGCGUUGUUCGGAAUGACUGGGCGUAAAGGGCGCGUAGGCGGCUCGUGAAGUCGGGUGUGAAAGCCCGGGGGCUCAACCCCGGAACGGCAUCCGAUACUGGCGGGCUUGAGACCGGGAGAGGAGGGUGGAAUACCCAGUGUAGAGGUGAAAUUCGUAGAUAUCGAGAGGAACAUCGGUGGCGAAAGGCGGCCUUCUGGGACGGUGACUGACGCUGGAGACGCGAAAGCGUGGGGAGCAAACAGG
rnacentral:rRNA from 1 species